rnacentral:rRNA from 1 species
UACGUAGGGGGCAAGCGUUGUCCGGAAUUAUUGGGCGUAAAGCGCGCGCAGGCGGUCAUUUAAGUCUGGUGUUUAAUCCUAGGGCUCAACCCUAGGUCGCACUGGAAACUGGGUGACUUGAGUACAGAAGAGGAAAGUGGAAUUCCACGUGUAAGCGGUGAAAUGACGUAGAGAUGUGGAGGAACACCAGUGGCGAAGGCGACUUCUGGGCUGUAACUGACGCUGAGGCGCGAAAGCG